AUGGGCGGAAUGUCUUUCGAUGAGCCUCCUCGCACACAUUCCCAUGAAGAUGCCGUUGAAGAUCUUGCCAACACCGUUGGAGCUUCACGUGAUGCGGUGCGCGAUGAGGAGAGGGAGGAAGAUUCAUUUUCGGAGGUGGAAGAAUCGUCUUCCGAAGAUGAGGACGAGGACGAAGACGAGGACGAGGACGAGGAAUGA
rnacentral:rRNA from 1 species